UUAUGAAUCAAUAAUAUUAAUUUUAUCCGAAAAAUUCAGCACUAAAUGCACAAAAAAAAAAAAAAAAAAAAAAAAAAAAAAAAAAAAAAAAAAACCUUAAACUUUAUAAUCCUAAGCAUUAUUCCAAACGAAACCUUAAACCCAACCUAAACCAAACGCUAAACCUUUUCUACUACCUAAACCCUAAAUCCUACCUAACCCUAAACCCUACCUAAACCUAGACCUUAACCCUAUCUAACCCUAAACCCUACAUAAACCUAACCCUAAUCCCUAAACCCUUCAUACUACCUAACCCUAAACCCUGUUUAACCCUAAACCCUACCUAACCCUAAACCCUUCCUAACCCUAAAACCCUACCUAAAACCUAACCCUAAAUCCUACUAACCCUAAACCCUACUAACCCUUAACCCUACCUAACCCUAACCCUACAUAACCCUAAACCCUACUAACCCUACCUAACCUAAACCCUUUCUAGCCCUAAACCCUACCUAACCCUAAACCCCAUCUAACGCUAAACCCUACCUAACCCUAAACCCCUUCUAACCUUAAACCUGACCUAACCCUAAACCAUGCCUAACCCUAAACCCUACCUAACCCUUUUUAGCCGUAAAUCCUUCUAACCCUAAACCCUUUCUAACCCUAAACCAUGCUAACCCUAAACCCUAAAUCCUACUAACCCUAAAUCCUACCUAACCUAAACCCUACCUAACCCUAAAACCUUUCUAACCCUAAACCCUUUCUAGCCCUAAACCCUACCUAACCCUAAACCCCAUCUAACGCUAAACCCUACCUAACCCUAAACCCCUUCUAACCUUAAACCUGACCUAACCCUAAACCAUGCCUAACCCUAAACCCUACCUAACCCUUUUUAGCCGUAAAUCCUUCUAACCCUAAACCCUUUCUAACCCUAAACCAUGCUAACCCUAAACCCUAAAUCCUACUAACCCUAAAUCCUACCUAACCUAAACCCUACCUAACCCUAAAACCUUUCUAACCCUAAACCCUUUUUAACCCUAAACCCUACCUAACCCUAAACCCUACCUAACCCUCAACCCUACCUACCCUAAACCCUUUUUAACCCUAAACCCUACCUAACCCUACCUAACCCUAAACCCUAUCUAUCCUAAACCCUUUUUAACCCUAAACCCUACCUAACCCUAAACCCUACCUAACCCUCAACCCUACCUACCCUAAACCCUUUUUAACCCUAAACCCUACCUAACCCUAAACCCUACCUAACCCUAACCCUGAAACCUACCUAACGCUAACCCUACAUAACCCUAAACCCUACUAACCAUACCUAACCUAAACCAUUUCUAACCCUAAACCCUUUCUAGCCCUAAACCCUACUUAACCCGAAACUCUACUAACCUUAAACCCUACUAACCUUAAACCCUAUUAUUUUCCUAAACCCUUUCUAACCCUAAACCCUACCUAACCCUAAACCCUACCUAACCCGUGCUUGGGAGUCCCUGAUGAUUAAAUAAACCAAGGAUUUUACACCCUACCUAACCCUAAACCCUACCUACCCUAAAUCCUUUCUAACCCUAAACCCUACCUAACCCUAAACCCCUUCUAACCCUAAACCCUUUCUAACCCUAAACCUUACCUGACCCUAAAUCCCUUCUAACCCUAAACCUGACCUAACCCUACCUAACCCUUUCUAGCCUUAAAUCAUACUAACCCUAAACCCUUUCUAACCCUAAACCAUGCUAACCCUAAACCCUACCUAAUUCUAAACCCUACCUAACCCUAAACCCUACUAACUCUAA
rnacentral:lncRNA from 1 species